AUACGGAGGGUGCAAACGUUAAUCGGAAUUACUGGGCGUAAAGCGCGCGUAGGCGGCUAAGUAAGUCGGAUGUGAAAGCCCUGGGCUCAACCUGGGAAUUGCAUUCGAUACUGCUUGGAUAGAGUAUGGUAGAGGGUAGUGGAAUUCCUGGUGUAGCGGUGAAAUGCGUAGAUAUCAGGAGGAACAUCAGUGGCGAAGGCGGCUACCUGGAACAAUACUGACGCUGAGGUGCGAAAGCGUGGGGAGCAAACAGGAUUAGAUACCCCAGUAGUCC
rnacentral:rRNA from 1 species